rnacentral:rRNA from 1 species
AUUGAACGCUGGCGGCAGGCCUAACACAUGCAAGUCGAGCGGAGCGGCGGACGGGGGAGUAAUGCCUAGGAAUCUGCCCGGUAGUGGGGUAUAACGUCCGGAAACGGGCGCUAAUACCGCAUACUAUCAGAUGAGCCUAGGUCGGAUUAGCUAGUUGGUGGGUUAAAGGCUUACCAAGGCGACGAUCCGUAACUGGUCUGAGAGGAGGAUCAGUCACACUGGAACUGAGACACGGUCCAGACUCCUACGGGAGGAAGCAGUGGGGAAUAUUGGGAAAUGGGCGAAAGCCUGAUCCAGCCAUGCCGCGUGUGUGAAGAAGGUCUUCGGAUUGUAAAGCACUGUAAGUUGGGAGGCGGUACCAACAGAAUAAGCAACGGCUAACUUCGUGCCAGCCGCCGCGGUAAUUC